AAAUGAAUAGACGGGGGCCCGCACAAGCGGUGGAGCAUGUGGUUCAAUUCGAAGCAACGCGCAGAACCUUACCAACCCUUGACAUGUCCAGUAUGAGCACCGGAGACGGAGCUCUUCAGUUCGGCUGGCUGGAACACAGGUGCUGCAUGGCUGUCGUCAGCUCGUGUCGUGAGAUGUUGGGUUAAGUCCCGCAACGAGCGCAACCCUCGCCCUUAGUUGCCAUCAUUCAGUUGGGCACUCUAGGGGGACUGCCGGUGAUAAGCCGCGAGGAAGGUGGGGAUGACGUCAAGUCCUCAUGGCCCUUACGGGUUGGGCUACACACGUGCUACAAUGGCGGUGACAGUGGGAUGCAAGGGCGCAAGCCUUCGCAAAUCUCAAAAAGCCGUCUCAGUUCGGAUUGGGGUCUGCAACUCGGCCCCAUGAAGUCGGAAUCGCUAGUAAUCGUGGAUCAGCACGCCACGGUGAAUACGUUCCCGGGCCUUGUACACACCGCCCGU
rnacentral:rRNA from 1 species